rnacentral:rRNA from 1 species
UACGAAGGGGGCUAGCGUUGCUCGGAAUGACUGGGCGUAAAGGGCGCGUAGGCGGCUUACAUAGUUAGGCGUGAAAUUCCUGGGCUCAACCUGGGGACUGCGUCUAAUACAUGUAGGCUUGAGUGUGAAAGAGGGUCGUGGAAUUUCCAGUGUAGAGGUGAAAUUCGUAGAGAUUGGAAAGAACACCGGUGGCGAAGGCGGCGACCUGGUUCAUUACUGACGAUGAGGCGCGAAAGAGUGGGGAGCAAACAGG